GGAAGGAUGGCCGAGUGGUUGAAGGUACUCGCUUGGAAAGCGAGCAUACCGAAAGGUAUCGAGGGUUCGAAUCCCUCUCCUUCCU
rfam:Candidatus Moranbacteria bacterium CG2_30_45_14 cg2_3.0_scaffold_4725_c, whole genome shotgun sequence.